rnacentral:rRNA from 1 species
UACGAAGGGUGCAAGCGUUAAUCGGAAUUACUGGGCGUAAAGCGCGCGUAGGUGGCUUGAUAAGUUGGAUGUGAAAUCCCCGGGCUCAACCUGGGAACUGCAUUUGAUACUACUGAGCUUGAGUACGGGAGAGGAUAGUGGAAUUCCCAGUGUAGAGGUGAAAUUCGUAGAUAUUGGGAAGAACACCGGUGGCGAAGGCGGCUAUCUGGACCGUAACUGACGCUGAGGCGCGAAAGCGUGGGGAGCAAACAGG